rnacentral:rRNA from 1 species
GACGAACGCUGGCGGCGUGCCUAACACAUGUAAGUCGAGCGAGUGAAUCUCCUUCGGGAGUGAAGCUAGCGGCGGACGGGUGAGUAACACGUGGGCAACCUGCCUCAUAGAGGGGAAUAGCCUUCCGAAAGGAAGAUUAAUACCGCAUAAGAUUGUAGCUUCGCAUGAAGUAGCAACUAAAGGAGAAAUCCGCUAUGAGAUGGGCCCGCGGCGCAUUAGCUAGUUGGUGAGGUAACGGCUCACCAAGGCGACGAUGCGUAGCCGACCUGAGCGGGUGAUCGGCCACAUUGGGACUGAGACACGGCCCAGACUCCUACGGGAGGCAGCAGUGGGGAAUAUUGCACAAUGGGGGAAACCCUGAUGCAGCAACGCCGCGUGAGUGAUGACGGCCUUCGGGUUGUAAAGCUCUGUCUUCAGGGACGAUAAUGACGGUACCUGAGGAGGAAGCCACGGCUAACUACGUGCCAGCAGCCGCCGUAAGAC